rnacentral:rRNA from 1 species
AUACGUAGGGGACGAGCGUUGUCCGGAAUUACUGGGCGUAAAGGGCGCGCAGGCGGAUAUUUAAGUCAGCUGUAAAAGGCAUGAGCUCAACUCAUGUAUGCGGUUGAAACUGGGUAUCUAGAGUGCUGGAGAGGUAGGCGGAAUUCCCGGUGUAGCGGUGGUAUGCGUAGAUAUCGGGAAGAACACCAGUGGCGAAGGCGGCUUACUGGCCAGCAACUGACGCUGAGGCGCGAAAGCCAGGGGAGCGAACGGGAUUAGAUACCCCGGUAGUCCUGGCCGUAAACGAUGAAUGCUAGGUGUGGGUGUCGAGAGGCAUCCGUGCCGGAGUUAACGCGAUAAGCAUUCCGCCUGGGGAGUACGAUCGCAAGAUUGAAACUCAAAGGAAUUGACGGGG